CAAUAGUGUAUAUUAAAGUUGUUGCGGUUAAAAAGCUCGUAGUUGAACAUCGUUACAACGAGAUCGUCGAGGCAAAAAAAGGGAAAGCAAUUUCUUCUUUUCUCGUAUGAUCGAGUGUAACUAUACUGUUUUAAAGUUAGAUGACUCUUGUUAUCUUUCUUAGCAGUUUUCUUACUUUGAGGAAAUUAGAGUGUUCAAAGCAUUGACUUAUUGUUGAUGUAUAUUUUAGCAUAGAAUAAGAAUAGUUGGUUUUUCAAUUUAUAUGUGAUGAAUAUAUAUAAUUGAAAAACGAAAAUGGAAAGAAACUAUUGAAGGUGUUUGUAUUCGGCAGCUAGAGGUGAAAUUCUUGAAUUUGUCGAGGACACUCCAAGGCGAAAGCAUACAUCUAAUUAGUUUUCAUUGA
rnacentral:rRNA from 1 species